rnacentral:snRNA from 9 species
CGGCGGAAGAUGCUUUUCCAGAGAACUGUAAAAGUCGGCCCAACUUCGUCCAUUGGAAAUGGCCAUGUAAAGGGACA